rnacentral:rRNA from 1 species
UACGAAGGGGGCGAGCGUUGUUCGGAAUUAUUGGGCGUAAGGGCUCGUAGGCGGUUUGUCGCGUCGGGAGUGAAAUCCACUGGCUUAACUGGUGGCUUGCUUCGAUACGGGCAGACUGGAGGUAUGCAGGGGAGAACGGAAUUCCUGGUGUAGCGGUGAAAUGCGCAGAUAUCAGGAGGAACACCGGUGGCGAAGGCGGUUCUCUGGCAUGUCCUGACGCUGAGGAGCGAAAGUGUGGGGAGCGAACAGG